GUUAUAGGAUCAAGUGAAUAAGUGCAUAUGGUGGAUGCCUUGGCGAUUACAGGCGAUGAAGGACGUGAUAGCCUGCGUAAAGCUUCGGGGAGCUGGCAAAUAAGCUUUGAUCCGGAGAUGUCCGAAUGGGGAAACCCACCCGCAAGGGUAACCGCUCCUGAAUAUAUAGGGAGAUGGUGGCAAACCGAGUGAACUGAAACAUCUAAGUAGCUCGAGGAAAAGAAAUCAACCGAGAUUCCGUAAGUAGUGGCGAGCGAACAUGGAAUAGCCUGUUAUUUUUAGCACAUGCGAUAGUAGAACGGAAUGGAAAGUCCGGCCAUAGAGGGUGAUAGCCCCUUAUACGAAAUCCCGUGUGUAGAACUAGGAUAACGACAAGUAGGGCGGGGCACGAGAAACCUUGUCUGAACAUGGGGGGACCAUCCUCCAAGGCUAAAUACUCGUAAUCGACCGAUAGUGAACCAGUACCGUGAGGGAAAGGCGAAAAGAACCCCGGGAGGGGAGUGAAAUAGAUCCUGAAACCGUAUGCAUACAAACAGUGGGAGCGGACUUGUUCCGUGACUGCGUACCUUUUGUAUAAUGGGUCAGCGACUUACAUUCAGUAGCAAGCUUAACCGAUAGGGGAGGCGUAGCGAAAGCGAGUCCGAAUAGGGCGUCUAGUUGCUGGGUGUAGACCCGAAACCAAGUGAUCUAUCCAUGGCCAGGAUGAAGGUGCCGUAACAGGUACUGGAGGUCCGAACCCACAAAUGUUGAAAAAUUUGGGGAUGAGCUGUGGAUAGGGGUGAAAGGCUAAACAAACUUGGAAAUAGCUGGUUCUCUCCGAAAACUAUUUAGGUAGUGCCUCGUAUAUCAUUCUUGGGGGUAGAGCACUGUUAUGGCUAGGGGGAUCAUAAGAUCUUACCAAACCAUUGCAAACUCCGAAUACUGAGAAAUGCAAUUACGGGAGACAGACCAUGGGUGCUAACGUCCGUGGUCAAGAGGGAAACAACCCAGACCGACAGCUAAGGUCCCAAAUGACGUGCUAAGUGGAAAACGAAGUGGGAAGGCACAGACAGCCAGGAUGUUGGCUUAGAAGCAGCCAUCAUUUAAAGAAAGCGUAAUAGCUCACUGGUCGAGUCGUCCUGCGCGGAAGAUGUAACGGGGCUAAGCACGUAACCGAAGCUUCGGAUGCCAUACUAUUUAUAGUGUGUGCAUGGUAGGAGAGCGUUCUGUAGGCCUGCGAAGGUGUUCUGUGAGGAAUGCUGGAGGUAUCAGAAGUGCGAAUGCUGACAUGAGUAGCGAUAAAGGGUGUGAAAAGCACCCUCGCCGAAAGCCCAAGGUUUCCUGCGCAACGUUCAUCGGCGCAGGGUGAGUCGGCCCCUAAGGUGAGGCAGAGAUGCGUAGCUGAUGGGAAACAGGUUAAUAUUCCUGUACCUUUAUACAAUGCGAUGUGGGGACGGAGAAGGUUAGGUCAGCCGGGUGUUGGAUGUCCCGGUUCAAGCGUGUAGGCAGAUUCUUUAGGCAAAUCCGGAGAGUCAUUAAUGCCAAGGCGUGAUAACGAGUCUACUUGUAGACGAAGUGAUUGAUACCAAGCUUCCAAGAAAAGCCACUAAGCUUCAGUUGUAUAAGACCGUACCGCAAACCGACACAGGUGGGCAGGAUGAGAAUUCUAAGGCGCUUGAGAGAACCCGGGAGAAGGAACUCGGCAAAUUAGCACCGUAACUUCGGGAGAAGGUGCGCCCCGGUAGUGUGUAGCGAUUUACUCGUGAAGCACGAUGGGGUUGCAGUG
rnacentral:rRNA from 1 species